CUCCCGUGCUGUGAUUCAACUGGAGAAAGGAUAAAGUGUCCAAACGCAGAGAAAAACUCCUACUGAAGUGACUGAUCUCCACACUGUUAUUAAAGAAUUGAGAUGGCGUUUAUUAAAGUGGAGAGUGAAGACCUGAAGAUUGAAGAAACAAUCAGUCAAGAAGUCAAACAAGAAGAUCUGCAGGAACAAACAGAUUGUUUUUCAUUCUCAAAGACUAACUCAGUUUGCACUGGCCCCUCAGAAAGAA